rnacentral:rRNA from 1 species
CGAGGUUUUAAUCGACCUUGGAGAAAGAUUUAUCGCCGGAGGAUUGGCCCGCGUCUGAUUAGCUUGUUGGUGAGGUAAUGGCUCACCAAGGCGACGAUCAGUAGCUGGUCUGAGAGGAUGAUCAGCCACAUUGGGACUGAGACACGGCCCAAACUCCUACGGGAGGCAGCAGUGGGGAAUAUUGGACAAUGGGCGAAAGCCUGAUCCAGCCAUGCCGCGUGAGUGAUGAAGGCCUUAGGGUUGUAAAGCUCUUUUACCCGGGAAGAUAAUGACGGUACCGGGAGAAUAAGCCCCGGCUAACUUCGUGCCAGCAGCCGCGGUAAUACGAAGGGGGCUAGCGUUGUUCGGAAUUACUGGGCGUAAAGCGCACGUAGGCGGAUCUUUAAGUCAGGGGUGAAAUCCCGAGGCUCAACCUCGGAACUGCCUUUGAUACUGGGGAUAUCGAGUCCGGGAGAGGUGAGUGGAACUGCGAGUGUAGAGGUGAAAUUCGUAGAUAUUCGCAAGAACACCAGUGGCGAAGGCGGCUCACUGGCCCGGUACUGACGCUGAGGUGCGAAAGCGUGGGGAGCAAACAGGAUUAGAUACCCUGGUAGUCCACGCCGUAAACGAUGGAUGCUAGCCGUUAGACAGCUUGCUGUUUAGUGGCGCAGUUAACGCGUUAAGCAUCCCGCCUGGGGAGUACGGUCGCAAGAUUAAAACUCAAAGGAAUUGACGGAAUCGAAUU